UACAGAGGUCCCAAGCGUUGUUCGGAUUCACUGGGCUUAAAGGGCGCGUAGGCGGUUUCCCAAGUCCGGGGUGAAAUCUUUCGGCUUAACCGGAAAAGUGCCUUGGAUACUGGGCGACUCGAGGGGGGUAGGGGCAAGCGGAACUUCCGGUGGAGCGGUGAAAUGCGUUGAUAUCGGAAGGAACGCCGGCGGCGAAAGCGGCUUGCUGGACCCCAUCUGACGCUGAUGCGCGAAAGCCAGGGGAGCGAACGGG
rnacentral:rRNA from 1 species